UACCAGACUCCUACGGGAGGCAGCAGUGGGGAAUAUUGCACAAUGGGGGAAACCCUGAUGCAGCGACGCCGCGUGAGCGAUGAAGUAUUUCGGUAUGUAAAGCUCUAUCAGCAGGGAAGAAGAUGGCGGUACCUGACUAAGAAGCCCCGGCUAACUACGUGCCAGCAGCCGCGGUAAUACGUAGGGGGCAAGCGUUAUCCGGAUUUACUGGGUGUAAAGGGAGCGUAGACGGCGAUGCAAGCCAGAUGUGAAAGCCCGGGGCUCAACCCCGGGACUGCAUUUGGAACUGUGUGGCUGGAGUGUCGGAGAGGCAGGCGGAAUUCCUAGUGUAGCGGUGAAAUGCGUAGAUAUUAGGAGGAACACCAGUGGCGAAGGCGGCCUGCUGGACGAUGACUGACGUUGAGGCUCGAAAGCGUGGGGAGCAAACAGGAUUAGAUACCCUUGUAAC
rnacentral:rRNA from 1 species